CCGCGACCGCACUUGCUCCGUCACACACACAGGCGCUUAAUGACAGACGGGGAGGGGGAAGCGUAGAGAAGUGUGCCCCGGAUCCAUCUUCAAGACAGAAAACAGGGAAAGAAAGACCGCGUCCCACUUCUAUUUCAUUUUUAGCGGCAUCUUUCCCACUCACAGGCGUCAGGGAGCCCGAGGAGGGGGCUGUGUCAUUGUCUGUAGGAUGUCCCGACAUGAAGGUGUGAGCUGUGAUGCGUGUUUAAAAGGGAACUUCAGAGGGCGCCGAUACAAGUGUUUAAUUUGUUACGACUACGACCUUUGUGCAUCUUGCUACGAAAGUGGAGCAACAACAACUAGACAUACCACGGAGCACCCAAUGCAGUGCAUACUAACCAGGGUAGACUUUGACUUGUAUUAUGGGGGAGAGGCGUUCUCAGUAGAGCAGCCUCAGUCAUUUACUUGUCCUUACUGUGGUAAAAUGGGCUACACAGAAACAUCUCUACAGGAGCACGUCACCUCAGAGCAUGCAGAGACCUCUACAGAAGUGAUUUGCCCAAUCUGUGCAGCUUUGCCUGGUGGCGACCCCAAUCAUGUGACAGAUGACUUUGCUGCUCAUCUCACACUUGAACACAGAGCACCUAGAGAUUUAGAUGAGAGCAGUGGCGUGCGGCACGUGCGCCGGAUGUUCCACCCCGGGCGGGGGCUGGGUGGUCCGCGGGCACGCAGGACAAACAUGCACUUUACCAGCAGCUCUACCGGUGGUCUCUCCUCUUCACAAAGCUCCUCCUACUCACCAAGCAAUAGGGAAGCAAUGGACCCCAUAGCAGAGUUGCUCUCUCAGCUGUCGGGUGUGCGUCGCUCGGCAGGAGGACAGCUCAACUCUUCAGGCCCCUCGGCCUCUCAGCUGCAGCAACUGCAGAUGCAGCUUCAGCUGGAGCGCCAGCAGGCUCAGGCGGCGCGUCAGCAGCUGGAGACAGCUCGCAACACCACGCGCCAGCGCAGCAACCCUAGCAACAUCAGCGCCAGCAUCCCGCCACCCAGCACCACCACAAACACAGCCAUGACUGAGAGCAACCCACUGGCCUUGCACAGCUCCCAGUUCCUUCUCACACGGUUGAACGAACCGAAAAUGUCGGAGGCGGAACGACAGGCGCUGGAGAGCGAGCGCGCCGACCGCAGCCUGUUCGUGCAGGAGCUGCUGCUGUCCACGCUAAUGCGAGAGGAGAGCUCAUCCUCCGACGAGGACGAAAGGCGAGACUUUGCUGACUUCGGCGCCAUGGGCUGCGUGGACAUCAUGCCUUUAGACGUGGCUCUGGAGAGCCUCAACCUGAAGGAGAGCUCCACAGGCAAAGAGCCUCCGCCACCACCUCUUUGAUGAUAUCCCACCACCACGCAGACAAUGUCCUCUGUGCUGUAACUGCCAAUGACGCAGGUGAGCGUAGGUAUCUGUGGCAGACCUCAGCUUCCUGUGUCUUGCAAAGAGGCUCUCCUUAUAAAUACUCCACAUUCAAAAACUGAAGGGGAAACCAGAGACCUUCUCUAAUGAAGCUGCUGUGUGUAUUUAUGAAUAUUAAUGAAUAAAAAGUGCUUGGAUGGUUUACCAUAACUACUGCAUGAGGUUAUUUGCAGCGUGCAUGAUUUUUAAUGACCUUGUCAUUAAAAAGGCAAAAAUAUCCCAAAGCUUUCUUUAACUUUUUCUUUUCAAGGGUUACUUGAACAGAAAUGGGUUGUCGAGUGAAAUAUCUCAAAUUUUAGGAUUUUUUUUAGUUUAUUUUUUGUUAAAUACGGAGAUCAAAAGCAAAAUUGGAAGAAGAAAAAAAACAGCAAUCCGCUUUUUUGUCCCUCCUCAUCUGCGACACUAUAGGAUGUUCAAACAAAUGGUCUGCCCUGAUUUGCCGAGGCAAAUGAACUCAAAGCAGUGGUUCUCAACUGGUGAGUCACAGGUCGGUUCUGAAAGGGUAGAAAAAUUUGAAAUGCUUAAAAUAAACUGCAACUAACCAUAUAAUUGUGCAUUGUUAGGAUAGCAAAAUAAAUGCACUUAGCAACACUAUUAUAAGGUAGGAGAAAACCAUUCCCAUAUCUUUUGUUGCUGCUGUCAAAUGGCUUGUGUCCGGGUCAGGUUUUUUUGUUUUUCAUAUUUAGGCAGUAUGUUAGCCUCAGUCACCAUUAACUUUCAUUGCAUUUGUUUUUUUUCUUCGAUACAAAGAAAGCAAAUGGUGACUGAGGCUAACAUACUGCCUAGCAUUUCUUUUUGUGUUUCACAGAAGAAAGUCACAGAUUUGUAACAAUAAUAAUGGUACACAAUUUCUUAGAGGACAGUGAAGGAAUUUUAUUUUCUGAAAUAGUUUUGCGUUCCCUCCCAGAAAGUUUAGCAUUCCCUCGCAAUUAUUUUGGGUUCCCUCGCAAUACUUUUAUCCAUUCCUUAUGAAAAUAUAGUUGAACUGUGGUAUUUGUAGUAAAACCAUAGUAAACACAAAAUUGACCAUUGUUUUACUACAGUAACUAUAGUUGUACUAUGGUAUUUAUAGUAAAAUCACAAUAACCACAACAUUUACUACAGUUUUACAACAGUUAAUAUAGUUGAACUGUGGUAUUUAUAGUAAAAACAUUAUAACCACAAAAUCUAUCAUGGUUUUACUACAUUAACUGUUUAAAUAUGGAAUUUAUAUUUCAACCAUAAUAAUCACAAUAUUUACCAUGGUUUUACAACAGUAGCUAUUGUUCAACUGUUAUUUAUAAUCAAACCAUAAUAACCACAAAAUGUAACAUGGUUUUACUACAGUAACUAUAGUUGUACUAUGGUAAAGUAAAACCAUAAUUGUUGUAAAAUGUACUAUGGUUUUACUACAGUAGAAAUUGUUCAAUGGUGGUAUUUUUAUUAAAACCAUAAUAAAAACAUUUACAUUGGUUUUAAUAAAGUAACUAAAGUUGAACUAUUUUAUUUAAAGUAAAACCAUAACCACAACAUUUUUCAUGGUUUUACUAAAGUAGCUAUUGUUCAACUAUGGUAUUUAUAGUAAAAUCACAAUAACCACACAAUUUACUAUGGUUUUACUACAGUAACUAUACUUGAACCAUGGUAUUUAAAGUAAAACCAUAGUUAACACAAAAUUUACUAUGGUAUUGCUGCAGUAGCUAUUGUUCAACUAUUGUUCUACGACAUUAUAUUUCCAGCAUGAUAUUCAUGGUAAAAUCUAGUAAUAAUACAGGAAAACCAAAAUUAUGGUAAUUCUAAAACUCAUUCUGCCAAAAAAUAAAUAAAUAAAUACAAAAUUACUAUAGUAACACCAUGGCUAAUUUGUGGUACAUGUACCAUGUGUUUUAAAACCAUGGUUCUAACCACAAAAAUGUUUAAUGCAGGUUUUCUAUAGUGAAACAGUGGUUGUUUUGGUUUUCCUCUGUUAUUAAUAUGGUUUUACUCGAUAUAUCCUAGUUCAGCUAUGGUUACUGUAGUAAAACCAUGGUUAAUUUUUGUAAAGGGUGGAUAGCUAUUGCAAGAGAACCCAAAAUAAUUUCGAGGGAAUGCAAAACUAUUGCCUGGGAUCAGAAAACGUAUUGCAAGGGAAUGCAAAAUAAAGGGUGAGUAAAUAAUGACAGAAUUUUCAUGUUUGGGUGAACUGUUCCUUUAAAUAUAGGUGAUGUUAUGGUACUGUGUUGGUUUGACAAUAUAAAUAUACAUAUGGGUCCUGAAGCAAAUCCAGUUGAGAAGCACUGCCUUAAAGAAUGUUUUGUUGCCUACGAGAAUAAAAACAAAGAAUAUACAGGUGUCGACAAAAAGAUUUAUACCGUUUUAACUAGGCGUUGAUGUCUUAGUGUCUGUGUAACCACCAGAUGUACUCUCAAACAGUAACUUAUGCACCUGUACAGACAAGUUAGACUUUCCAUUUUCAUUUUGCUCUACUCUUCACAUAUCUGCUUUUAGCGUGCUUGGAAAGCCCUCUUUUCCGCCAGCUUCCUCUCUCUUUGUUGGUAAAGGAGGGCGCAAGACUUGCCACAUUUGCAGUUUUUUGUUCAACUUUUCAAAAGAGUGACAUGCUAAACUCCUCGCUCAUAGACAGCACCUUCUAUUUAUUCAGGGUUUUUUUUUUUUUUUUUUUUUGUCUCUCUCUAUGAUUCUUUAAAGCCUUGUGAUUGAUCAUGCCACCUCCAUGCCUAUACUCUUUUUCUCUAUGUAAAAUACAAUGAGAUGUAUAUGGAAUUUGUGCGUUAACUUUCAUAAUGGAUCUAGGACAUGGGCAUACUUUCUUUUUUUUAAUGUAAAUUUAGAAUACUACAAUAAAAACAUUGCACAGCUUUUGAUGAAAACCAAACCCCAUCCUCUUACUCU